rnacentral:rRNA from 1 species
GUGCACGCUGGCGGUAGGCCUCACACCUGCAAGUCGAACGGCAGCACAGUAAGAGCUUGCUCUUACGGGUGGCGAGUGGCGGACGGGUGAGGAAUACAUCGGAAUCUACUUUUUCGUGGGGGAUAACGUAGGGAAACUUACGCUAAUACCGCAUACGACCUACGGGUGAAAGCAGGGGAUCUUCGGACCUUGCGCGAUUGAAUGAGCCGAUGUCGGAUUAGCUAGUUGGCGGGGUAAAGGCCCACCAAGGCGACGAUCCGUAGCUGGUCUGAGAGGAUGAUCAGCCACACUGGAACUGAGACACGGUCCAGACUCCUACGGGAGGCAGCAGUGGGGAAUAUUGGACAAUGGGCGCAAGCCUGAUCCAGCCAUACCGCGUGGGUGAAGAAGGCCUUCGGGUUGUAAAGCCCUUUUGUUGGGAAAGAAAAGCAGCAGGUUAAUACCCCGCUGUUCUGACGGUACCCAAAGAAUAAGCACCGGCUAACUUCGUGC